rnacentral:rRNA from 1 species
UACGAAGGGGGCUAGCGUUGCUCGGAAUCACUGGGCGUAAAGGGUGCGUAGGCGGUUUUUUAAGUCAGGGGUGAAAUCCUGGAGCUCAACUCCAGAACUGCCUUUGAUACUGAAGAUCUUGAGUCCGGGAGAGGUGAGUGGAACUGCGAGUGUAGAGGUGAAAUUCGUAGAUAUUCGCAAGAACACCAGUGGCGAAGGCGGCUCACUGGCCCGGUACUGACGCUGAGGCACGAAAGCGUGGGGAGCAAACAGG